AGAAUGUAGAGUGAUAAAGCGGAAGACCUUGGCUAUUGACCAGUAAUACUCAACAUUUAAUGCGUGGAAAAACUAGGAAUCAACUGAUGGAAGAUAAACUAGUGACUUUUCUUCAAACACAUUAUCGCUUAAGAAGUUUCAUUCUAACUUCAUAACAUCCGCACUCUUACGUAGUAGGUCAGUGCCAAUAGAGACAUUUCGAUUAGAUGAUUGAAUUUGGUAGUUUAUUCUCUGUUUGUUGGCCGCCCAAAGAUUUAAAUAAUGAGAAUAAUUAAUAGGGAAAAUCGCAAAAAAAACCUUCAAGGUGGCAGCUACUUACACUUUAAACCUUGAAAGUAUUUCACAAGCACUUUAAAUCUUCAAAGUGACACUUUUAUCAAAAGAAACCUCCAACCUGGCUUAUUUGUACAUCAAGUCAAAACGGUAACCGGUACUGUUCAAAAACGAUGACGUGUCGGUUUUUAUUUUUUUUUCUUUUUUUAAAAAGUUAUUUCAUUAAUAAAAUAAAUAUUAAAAUAAAGAAAAUAUUAAAAUUCAUAAAAAAAUUCAAAACAGAUCAUAAAAAUCACUAAAAAUUCACAAAAAAAAUCAAAAUAUUCACCAAAAAAAAUUUAAAUUAUUUUAUUAAUAAAAUUAAUAUAAAAUACAAAAGUAUAAAAAAUUCAUAAAAAAUUGAAAAUAAAUCAUAAAAAGUCAAUAAAAUUCACAAAAAUUCAUAAAAU
rnacentral:lncRNA from 1 species